UCUUGCACGGACCAAGGACAUGUAUGUCUAUCUGGAAUUAUGAGGUUCUAGGCUUGGCUGUGUGAAGAUCAAAGCAGAGGAAGCCACACAAUGCAGAGAACCAACAGUGGAGCUACACCUAGUGAGAAGCAAAGAGACGAUGGAUGGCCUGAGAGGGAAAGAGACUGAGAAAAGCUGUCAGCUUUUAGUUCCUGGUUCCAGUCCUUUGUGACAGCCAGCUUGAUUAGAGAGAAAAGGUCAUUUGGAAAAUAUAGCCAUUUUUGGAAGACUGAGCAGCCAAGGUUCUUAAGAUUGGGACAAAACAAAGGAUGGAGCGUGUAAAGAGCAAAACCUUCCUGACAGAAUGUGGAUGGGCCAAAAACAGCAGUAAAGAGAUUAACCUCAAAUAGGAAAAUAUAUUCCUUGUGUGGAUAUUGGAGGAGAAACAAUGAAGAAUGGUCGCAGAUAUAGACAAUUACAGCAAGCUCUAGGAAAACUUUCUCUGAAAAAGGUUUAUAACAGUUCACUACUUCAUCCUCAAGCCAACACCUAUGAAAAAGAUAAUGGUGUCCGAUGACAGGCCUCUGCUAACAGUGUAAGGCUAUCUGUGAACUCCUCAGUCUACACAUAUCUUCCUCAGCCUCUGGGAUUCCAUUUCCACCCAAGAAUUAAAUUGAUAGAAAGAAAAACAGCAAAAUAUACACAUAUUUUUCCACUAUUAAAUCCAAUAAUGAUGACUUAAUUUCAGCAAAACAUCAUCAAUCGCAUUAAAUUAAUGUUGCUGUUAAUUUGAA